rnacentral:rRNA from 1 species
UGAACGCUGGCGGCACGCUUCAUACAUGCAAGUCGAGGGGCAGCAUAAAGUACUUGUACUUUGAUGGCGACCGGCGAACGGGUGCGUAACGCGUAUGCAACUUACCUUUUACUAGAGAAUAGCCAAGAGAAAUUUUGAUUAAUGCUCUAUACUCUUUUUAACUCACAUGAGUUUUUAAGAAAAGCUCCGGCGGUAAAAGAUGGGCAUGCGUCCUAUUAGCUUGUAGGUGAGGUAACGGCUCACCUAAGCUCCGAUAGGUAGGGGUCCUGAGAGGGAGAUCCCCCACACUGGUACUGAGACACGGACCAGACUUCUACGGAAGGCAGCAGUAAGGAAUAUUGGACAAUGGAGGAAACUCUGAUCCAGCGAUGCCGCGUGAAGGAAGACGGCCCUAUGGGUUGUAAACUUCUUUUAUACAGGAAGAAACCUUUCCACGUGUGGAAAGCUGACGGUACUGUAAGAAUAAGGAUCGG